rnacentral:tRNA from 1 species
GGCGGUAUAGCUCAGCUGGUUAGAGCAAUGGAAUCAUAAUCCAUGUGUCCGUGGUUCAAAUCCGCGUACCGCUA